rnacentral:lncRNA from 1 species
UACUAUUCUCACCCACCACAUUUGAAAUAAAUUCAGCACAUUUCUUCACCAACCAUAAGUGGGGCCCACUCAAUUCUAGAAUUUUCCACCAAAAUCAUUUAUAAACCUAAUUUCUGAAUUAGUCACCUCUUAAAAUUCAUAACAAAUCAUACGUUCAUUUUUAACGGUUCAAAAUUUGUGGACAUAUACUCAACUUAUAUAUGUAUAACAUAUCCAAAA